rnacentral:lncRNA from 1 species
GAAACCCUGCAAGAGCUGGUCUCUGAGAAUUCUGUGAGGAGCCAGAAAUGGAAGCCAAAUGUUGGUGUCAGGUAGAGGAAGCUGGGUCUGGUUUUGUCUGGGCUGUCAGUUUUUCCAGGGCAGGGGCCAUGACCCACCCCGAGGCCUGGGGACCCUGUGCAGCAUCAGCAUUGUCUUGUUGAGUGACGGCAGGACCCAGGAAAUUUCCAGAGUGAAGGGGGAGCCACAUGUUCCCCAUCCCGGUCCUUACAGAUCUUCCCUGAGACUUGGGAAGGGGGCAGUUUUUUAUUCUAUUUGGACUCUAUAUUUACACGUUUUCAAGGCCUAUGGAACUUAUGGACUUAAGUUUGGAACACAAAAGCUCACUUCUGUAGUUUUAAGAUUAAAACGUAAAAUC